GACGAACGCUGGCGGCGUGCUUAACACAUGCAAGUCGAACGCUGAAGACCUGGCUUUUGUUGGGUUGGAUGAGUGGCGAACGGGUGAGUAACACGUGAGUAACCUGCCCUCUUCUUUGGGAUAACGCCCGGAAACGGGUGCUAAUACUGGAUAUUCACUGAUCUUCGCAUGGGGGUUGGUGGAAAGGUUUGUUCUGGUGGGGGAUGGGCUCGCGGCCUAUCAGCUUGUUGGUGGGGUGAUGGCCUACCAAGGCUUUGACGGGUAGCCGGCCUGAGAGGGUGACCGGUCACAUUGGGACUGAGAUACGGCCCAGACUCCUACGGGAGGCAGCAGUGGGGAAUAUUGCACAAUGGGCGAAAGCCUGAUGCAGCGACGCCGCGUGAGGGAUGGAGGCCUUCGGGUUGUAAACCUCUUUCGCUCAUGGUCAAGCCGCAACUGUGGGUUGUGGUGAGGGUAGUGGGUAAAGAAGCGCCGGCUAACUACGU
rnacentral:rRNA from 1 species